UGGGAUAACCAAGCUUUGGUGAUAAGACCCGACAGGUCAAGGCACCAAAGGGCAGCUGGAGCAAUCCAACUGCUGGUAGGUUCACUUUUCAAAAUGUGAACCUUUAAUUGCUGUGAUGCCCUUAGAUGUUCUGGGCCGCACGCGCGCUACACUGACAGAGCCAACGAGUUCUUCACCUUGGCCGAAAGGUC
rnacentral:rRNA from 1 species